GAGCCCCCGGGGAAAGUGAUCAUAGAAUCACAGAGUGGCCUGGGUCGAAAAGGACCGCGGUUAUAAUCUAUUUUCAACCCCCUGCUAUGUGCGGGGUCGCCAACCACCAAACCAGGCUGCCCAGAGCCACUUCCAGCCUGGCCUUGAAUGCCUCCAGAGAUGGGGCAUCCACAGCCUCUUUGGGCAACCUGUUGCAGCAAUGUGGCAGUGUGCACGUGUCUGUGAGCAUUUGGGGGAACUAGAAACGGGUGCAGCCUCUGCAAGGCAAGGACAUGGAAUAUCCUCGUGUCUGAUGCAGUGUGAGCCUGCCAGCCUUGAGGUCUUCAACAUCCCGGCAUGUUCCAGAGGCUGCCUUCCCAUAGAAGAGGCAACAUGCCCUGGUUUCAAUCUGGCAAGGUCAGACCCUCUGCAAGCACUGCAGUCAGUCACCCCUCCAGGAAGCACAUGCUUGGAAAUGCUCAGGUUGCUUGACUCGCACCCUGUGUGAGAGAUCAGUGAGGACUGCAGCAAAACCUUACCUCUCUUCAAUGCAGAGGGAAGCACUUCAGUCUCAAAUGCAGGUUACGUGGCCUUCUUCACAUGUUCCCUCUGCUGUACAAGCUUGUGAUUCGCUGUUGCAUGGAGUAGUUAUGUGAAAGCCAGUGUAAAAAAUUGGAAGUAAAUAUCCUUUUGACAUCUCAGGGCUUCUGCUGCUGGUUUCACACGAACCCACAGGAUGGCAGUGUUUGCAGCGCUGCCUAGCUGGACGAGGUCUCCUCAGUGCAUGCAGGCAGAUUUCACAGGGAUGGGAAAAUCAGUGCAUCAUCUGCUGUGACUGCAAUUGAAGCCAACUUGGUGAAGUUGUUUCACUCUGAUUUCA